UUUUUUUUUCUUUUUUCUUUCUCAUUUUGUGGAAACCAAAAAAACAAAAAAAA
rnacentral:ribozyme from 13 species